rnacentral:lncRNA from 1 species
AUGGAUGUUUAUUAUAUUCCUUUUAGAUCUCCUUUUGGCAGCUGGAUGAGAAGGGCAUGCCACCAUAAAGGAGGGAUCACUGAAACGAGGUUAAAGUUGUAUUCAAAAGCAACACCAGUGCUGUACGUUGCACGUAUCACCACUAUUGAGGGUCAAUACCUCUUCCCUGGAGUCACUGUCAGAGUUCUAGAACUGCAUUUGGGGAAAUCAAGAACUGAAUACGUUCCUUUUUUAUUUCUGCUCAUUUUCAGGGUUACGUUUCUUGAAGAGUUGGGCCUAGCAAUAUGGCAGCGCACGUUCGAUAAGAAACCCCGUAAAGCGCUGCCCCUGAGGGCAUCAGAGGAGGAUAUUGAGAGUAAUCUGGACAUAGCAGCUUUCUUCCAAGGAUCUCAAAACACUCUAAGGACAUGCUUUUCUCUGCAACCUUCCUCUCACUCCAUUUCUAUGAGAACUCUUCCUGCAAAUUGGGUCCCUAAGAGGAUUAGUGAAGGGGAUACCAAUUUAUUUAUACCCACCUCAGCGUGGCAGCAGACAGACAUUGUAAGUUGCUGGAUUAUUAAAUGGUUUGUAACAUGUGAAAGAAGCUUCCUUCUUCUAGUGCAGUUCAGAGUGGACAGGUGUCUACAUCACAGCCACUCUGAACUGACCCCCAGCUCCUGCAUUUUUUUCUCUUCUUAACCUGUUCACGCUGGCAAUACAAAUGGACAUGCUGAGGAGACUAAGUGGACUACAGAGAUUCAGUCCCUUCAAGUGUGAGAUAGACUGCUGUAGGGAUACAUUAUUGCUAUGUUGUAGAUGCACAUUAUUGCUGUUCUCAGGGCAAAGAUGCCUUUGGUCACCACGGAAAAGUUUUCAGGCAUCUUUCCGUUGCACUUAGUACACUGGAAAAAAAAAAAAAUACAGAAUGAGGGAGAGAGAUAAGAAGCCAGGAGAAAACCCUCAAGCUUUCUCUGCUUACACUUCCGAUUCUGGAUAGCUACAGUGCCAAGCGAUAUUGCCAUUUCAGUCGUCUUCUACUGUGCCUGGCUUGAAUGAUCCCAAAGGAGCAAGCGGAGGUAAAUAUACGGCUAUGAUCAAAAGAGAGUAAAGCCUCUAUUAUUUGUGCCAGCCUACAGGCGCUUAGGUUUUGGAAUCUGAGUCUUUGAAAAACAAGGUUACUUGGAGCUCUAGUAAAUAAAGUGUCUGGAUGUUAGUGGUGAUUCA